rnacentral:rRNA from 1 species
CAGUCGAGCGGAACGAGUUAUCUGAACCUUCGGGGGACGAUAACGGCGUCGAGCGGCGGACGGGUGAGUAAUGCCUAGGAAAUUGCCCUGAUGUGGGGGAUAACCAUUGGAAACGAUGGCUAAUACCGCAUGAUGCCUACGGGCCAAAGAGGGGGACCUUCGGGCCUCUCGCGUCAGGAUAUGCCUAGGUGGGAUUAGCUAGUUGGUGAGGUAAGGGCUCACCAAGGCGACGAUCCCUAGCUGGUCUGAGAGGAUGAUCAGCCACACUGGAACUGAGACACGGUCCAGACUCCUACGGGAGGCAGCAGUGGGGAAUAUUGCACAAUGGGCGCAAGCCUGAUGCAGCCAUGCCGCGUGUGUGAAGAAGGCCUUCGGGUUGUAAAGCACUUUCAGUCGUGAGGAAGGUGGUGUAGUUAAUAGCUGUAUCAUUUGACGUUAGCGACAGAAGAAGCACCGGCUAACUCCGUGCCAGC